UACAGAGGGGGCAAGCGUUGUUCGGAAUUACUGGGCGUAAAGGGCGCGUAGGCGGCCUUCUAAGUCGAACGUGAAAUCCCCGGGCUCAACCCGGGAACUGCGUCCGAUACUGGAAGGCUUGAAUCCGGGAGAGGGAUGUGGAAUUCCAGGUGUAGCGGUGAAAUGCGUAGAUAUCUGGAGGAACACCGGUGGCGAAGGCGGCAUCCUGGACCAACACUGACGCUGAUGAGCGAAAGCCAGGGGAGCAAACAGG
rnacentral:rRNA from 1 species